ACUCCUACGGGAGGCAGCAGUGGGGGAAUAUUGGACAAUGGGCGAAAGCCUGAUCCAGCCAUGCCGCGUGUGUGAAGAAGGUCUUCGGAUUGUAAAGCACUUUAAGUUGGGAGGAAGGGCAUUAACCUAAUACGUUAGUGUUUUGUACGUUACCGACAGAAUAAGCACCGGCUAACUCUGUGCCAGCAGCCGCGGUAAUACAGAGGGGUGCAAGCGUUAAUCGGAAUUACUGGGCGUAAAGCGCGCGUAGGUGGUUUGUUAAGUUGGAUGUGAAAUCCCCGGGGCUCAACCUGGGAACUGCAUUCAAAACUGACUGACUAGAGUAUGGUAGAGGGUGGUGGAAUUUCCUGUGUAGCGGUGAAAUGCGUAGAUAUAGGAAGGAACACCAGUGGCGAAGGCGACCACCUGGACUAAUACUGACACUGAGGUGCGAAAGCGUGGGGAGCAAACAGGAUUAGAUACCCCUGGUAGCACAGAG
rnacentral:rRNA from 1 species